UACGGAGGGUGCAAGCGUUAUCCGGAUUCACUGGGUUUAAAGGGAGCGUAGGUGGCUUUGUAAGUCAGUGGUGAAAUAUUGCGGCUCAACCGCAAAACUGCCAUUGAUACUGCUUAGCUUGAAUCACGUCGAGGUGGAUGGAAUAAUACAUGUAGCGGUGAAAUGCUUAGAAUAUGUAUUAGAACACCGAUUGCGAAGGCAGUUCACUAGGCGUGUAUUGACACUGAGGCUCGAAAGCGUGGGGGAUCAAACGG
rnacentral:rRNA from 1 species